rnacentral:lncRNA from 1 species
AGGCAGUUCUGGCUCAAGAUCUCUCAUGAUACUGCAGACACCACACCAACGAGGACCCCAGUCCUCUGGCACUGGAGGACCCACUUAGAAGGCGGAUGACUCACGUGGCUCUUGGCAGGAGACCUCAGUUCCUCCCCACAUAGGCCUCCCUAUAGGACUGCUUGAGUGUCCCGUUUACCAAAUGAUCUAAAUAUGUUCCGGUUUUGAUUGGCUGCUCUGCAAUGUGGGCCGUUAUCUAGCUGAUUCGGUGGGGCCUGAAGUGUCAGUUCCUGCCGCAGGGAUGUUAUAUGGAACCUUUGGCAGGCCGCUACAGACGAAUCAUAAUAUAAACCUGUGCUAGUUAUUGAUUACGUCCCAGCUCCUGCGUUGCCUGCUCUGUGAAAUGGUUCUGGCCCUUUAGUUUUUCCUUUACCAGCUGGCAUGAUCUUAAGCUUUGUCAGUAGAGGGCGCUGGAGAGACAUUGCAGGAGACGAGUUUCCCUUCCUGCUUCUGGUGUGUUCUCUCUAGGCUCCGGCAUGACGGGUGACUUCUUCCGAGUCUGGCUUCUGCAGCACACAGGGCUUCGCCAGCACCCAGCUCCUGCAGCAUGGGCAGCUCCUGUGACAGCAGGCGCCCGCAGCCUGCAAAGCGUCUCCAGUGCCGCCGCCUCAGUGAACCUCAACCAGCGGCACCUAGCAGCUUUCUCUGCCACCCUCUUCAGGUAGUUCUGUAGCAGCGCGUUUCUCAUGAGACACUUCCCUGUGAGCAGCUUUUUCUACCCUUGAGGAUGGAUUUCCAGCAAAUUCUGCCCAUGUGGUACCACAGCCACUUCUCUGCCAUUCAGUGAAACUGCCGUUGUGCCCUCUUCAAGGUCUGGAUCUAAGCCCAGGGACCAGGAAACCUCUUGCUUGAGUGCUGGAACUCAGGCCAGAAGGCAGGAAGCCCGCCUGACCCCAUGUCUCAGGCUGCCAGAGGAGCGUGCGAUGAGGAAGGCUGGACUGUCUUCACAGGACACCAGGGAGAAGCCUCAAGCCACUGCCCCCUGAC